rnacentral:ncRNA from 1 species
GUCUCAAAGUCUAAGCCAUGCAUGUUUAAAUUCAUAUAAACGCAGAACGGUUCAUUAUCUCAACUAUAAUGUACUUGAUCUUGAUUAUCCAGCUGUGACAAUUUUAGAGCUAACAGAUGCAUCAAAGCUCCAACCUUUGGACGAGCGCCAAAAGUUGGAGAUUAAAACCAAUCGGAUUAUUGGCUCGUUAAUUGGUGACUCUGAUGAAUAGCUAUGGCUGAUCACAUGGUCUUGUACCGGUGAUGGGUUCAUACAGCUGCCUUAUCAACUUUCGAUGGUAGUUUAUGUGCCUAUCAUGGUUGUAAUGGGGUAGCGGAGAGUUAGAAUUCGGUUCCGGAGAGGAAGCUUGAGAAACGGCAACCACAUCCAAGGAAGACAGCAGGAGCGCAAAUUACCCGCUCUCCCAGAAUGAGGAAGUAGUGAAAAAAA